rnacentral:rRNA from 1 species
AACGAACGCUGGCGGCAGGCCUAACACAUGCAAGUCGAGCGAAGCCUUCGGGCUUAGCGGCGGACGGGUGAGUAACGCGUGGGAACGUGCCCUUUGGUACGGAAUAGCCCCGGGAAACUGGGAGUAAUACCGUAUGUGGUCGAGAGACGAAAGAUUUAUCGCCAAAGGAUCGGCCCGCGUUGGAUUAGGUAGUUGGUGGGGUAAUGGCCUACCAAGCCGACGAUCCAUAGCUGGUUUGAGAGGAUGAUCAGCCACACUGGGACUGAGACACGGCCCAGACUCCUACGGGAGGCAGCAGUGGGGAAUCUUAGACAAUGGGGGAAACCCUGAUCUAGCCAUGCCGCGUGAUCGAUGAAGGCCUUAGGGUUGUAAAGAUCUUUCAGUGGGGAAGAUAAUGACUGUACCCACAGAAGAAGCCCCGGCUAACUCCGUGCCGUCCGCCGCAGUAACAC